rnacentral:lncRNA from 1 species
UUUCACAUGCUAACAGAACACCACACUCUUGACACAUUGUACUGUUCUUAUAUAUUUUUUGAAACUUCAAAAUGAAGUUUUUUCACGUGGUUUCCACCAAAACUUGGUUUCCACGUGAUAUUUUAUCUAUGACGUGUGGAGGUGGAGAUAUAUCAAUCUACUGUGAUCUAGCAUUUUCUUUAGGGAAAACGUUCUCACUUUUUUUUUCGGGAUUUGAGAAAGCGUUCACUCUAAUGACACACACUGUGCAGACCCGUAAAGAGAUGUAGCUGUGGUUCACAUUUGGUGCAAGGCUAGUGGGAAGGCCCAGUACUAUAGCAGACUCUCUGAGUUCUUUAUUCUAUGUCUUUUUAUUUUUUUUGGUUUUCACUGUUUGCAUCGGUUUCUUUUGUUUGUUUCUUUUUGUUGGGGUUUCUUUGGUUCCAUUUGUUUUUUUCUUCCUUUCUAAUUUUUAUUUAUGUUUUCACCACAUCUCUACACUUAUUCAGAAACAUUGACCAUUUGCCAUAUGCAUCGGGAACAAAUUCUAUACGUUAUUAGCAUAUUUUAAAAUACAUGUUUUUAAUAUAUGUUUAAAUGUCUACUUUUUCAUAUGCAUUUCAUCUUUUUGGUAUACAUCAAAGAUAUUUUACUACACUUUUGACAUUUUUGAAAUACACUAUCAAUAUUUUGUAAAGACAUAACUUUGAACAUUUUCCGAAUACAUGUUGAAGAUCCAUUCGUGCUCUCGAAACUUGGAUUAUUUCUUAGCAUGGUUUGGCGAAAUCAGGAAACUUUUCUAUCUUCUUAAGUAAUAAAAAAACCACCUGGCUUGGUGGCAACGGCGAAAGGAAAUACCUGAUCGUAUGGAAAUCAAUACAGCAUCACAUCAGUCGUCGGUGGUCGAUUCCAGGCCCGCCACUACCGCAUCUUAAUCAAGCUUGAAUGUUGUAUGUCCAAAAUCCACCACCAUGGAGAAUUGACUCAUGUCUUCCAUGGGAUUAACCAUCAACAGGCAGGAAUGCCGCACCUCCUAUGUGAAACGCCAUACCUAGAGUUAGGUCGAGAUCCAUAUGAAUGGAUGCAUUGACCGCCAUGUCAAGACUACGAUGAUGUAGCAUUGACGACAUCCAAGAGGAUGAUAGGGGGAAGGGGAAAACCUAGGCUAGGAUGUGGGGAUGUGGUGAGAUGGGCUAGGGUUUGGGUGGAGGAGAGGUGGGCGGUGGGGAUGCCUUGCUGAAUUAGGUGUGGCAUGAAGUUGUCAUCCUCAAAAUAAUAUGAU